rnacentral:piRNA from 1 species
AGUAGUUUCAAUAGAGGUGUGCC